rnacentral:rRNA from 1 species
CGUAGGGUGCGAGCGUUGUCCGGAAUUAUUGGGCGCAAAGAGCUCGUAGGCGGUCUGUCGCGUCGAUCGUGAAAACUUGGGGCUUAACCCUGAGCUUGCGGUCGAUACGGGCAUGACUGGAGUUCGGCAGGGGAGACUGGAAUUCCUGGUGUAGCGGUGAAAUGCGCAGAUAUCAGGAGGAACACCGGUGGCGAAGGCGGGUCUCUGGGCCGAUACUGACGCUGAGGAGCGAAAGCGUGGGGAGCGAACAGGAUUAGAUACCCUGGUAGUCCACGCCGUAAACGGUGGGCGCUAGGUGUGGGGGCCAUUCCACGGUCUCUGUGCCGUAGCUAACGCAUUAAGCGCCCCGCCUGGGGAGUACGGCCGCAAGGCUA